AAAGCGCACGUAGGCGGCUUUGUAAGUAAGAGGUGAAAGCCCAGAGCUCAACUCUGGAAUUGCCUUUUAGACUGCAUCGCUUGAAUCAUGGAGAGGUCAGUGGAAUUCCGAGUGUAGAGGUGAAAUUCGUAGAUAUUCGGAAGAACACCAGUGGCGAAGGCGGCUGACUGGACAUGUAUUGACGCUGAGGUGCGAAAGCGUGGGGAGCAAACAGGAUUAGAUACCCGAGU
rnacentral:rRNA from 1 species